UGGGGAAUAUUGCACAAUGGGCGAAAGCCUGAUGCAGCAACGCCGCGUGUGUGAUGAAGGCCUUCGGGUUGUAAAGCACUUUUGGCGGGAACGAAAAGGACUGUGCCAAUACCACGGUUCGAUGACGGUACCCGCAGAAUAAGCACCGGCUAACUUCGUGCCAGCAGCCGCGGUAAUACGAAGGGUGCAAGCGUUAUCCGGAAUUAUUGGGCGUAAAGCGUCCGUAGGGGGUUGUUCAAGUCUGCUGUU
rnacentral:rRNA from 1 species